UACGGAGGGUGCAAGCGUUGUCCGGAUUUAUUGGGUUUAAAGGGUGCGUAGGCGGCUAUUUAAGUCAGUGGUGAAAUCCUGCAGCUUAACUGUAGAAUUGCCAUUGAUACUGGAUAGCUUGAGUACAGACGAGGUAGGCGGAAUUGACAGUGUAGCGGUGAAAUGCAUAGAUAUUGUCAAGAACACCGAUUGCGAAGGCAGCUUACUAGACUGUAACUGACGCUGAGGCACGAAAGUGUGGGGGAUCAAAACAGG
rnacentral:rRNA from 1 species